rnacentral:rRNA from 1 species
UACGGAGGGUGCAAGCGUUAUCCGGAUUCACUGGGGUUUAAAGGGUGCGUAGGCGGGCAGGUAAGUUCCGUGGUGAAAUCUCUGAGCUUAACUCAGAAACUGCCCAUGGAUACUAUUUGUCUUGAAUGUUGUGGAGGUAAGCGGAAUAUGUCAUGUAGCGGUGAAAAUGCUUAGAUAUGACAUAGAACACCAAUUGCGAAGGCAGCUUACUACACAAAUAUUGACGCUGAGGCACGAAAGCGUGGGGAUCAAACAGG